rnacentral:rRNA from 1 species
AGCUAGUUGGUGGGGUAAAAGCCUACCAAGGCGACGAUCUGUAGCUGGUCUGAGAGGACGACCAGCCACACUGGGACUGAGACACGGCCCAGACUCCUACGGGAGGCAGCAGUGGGGAAUUUUGGACAAUGGGCGCAAGCCUGAUCCAGCCAUGCCGCGUGCGGGAAGAAGGCCUUCGGGUUGUAAACCGCUUUUGUCGGGGAAGAAAUACUCUGGACUAAUACUCUGGGGUGAUGACGGUACCUGAAGAAUAAGCACCGGCUAACUACGUGCCAGCAGCCGCGGUAAUACGUAGGGUGCGAGCGUUAAUCGGAAUUACUGGGCGUAAAGCGUGCGCAGGCGGUUGUGUAAGACAGAUGUGAAAUCCCCGGGCUCAACCUGGGAAUGGCAUUUGUGACUGCACAGCUAGAGUACGGUAGAGGGGGAUGGAAUUCCGCGUGUAGCAGUGAAAUGCGUAGAUAUGCGGAGGAACACCGAUGGCGAAGGCAGUCCCCUGGACCUGUACUGACGCUCAUGCACGAAAGCGUGGGGAGCAAUCAGGAUUAGAUACCCUGGUAGUCCACGCCCUAAACGAUG